ACAGCGCACUGGCAGACUUCGGCCGCCCACUGCCGGCGUCGGCUUCGGCUUCAGCUUCGGCUACGGCUACGGCUACGGCUACGACUUCAGCUACGGCUUCAGCUCCGGCUGCAGGUUCGGCGUCAGCUUCAGCGUCGGGCGCGGCGUCGUCUUCGGCAGGGCCGGAGGAGCUCAACUUCAGCGACGCCUACAAGUCCUUCGAAGAGGCGAUGAAGCAGGCGCUGAAGGACGCGCCGGCAGAGGGCGGCCAGGCCGAGGCCGCCUUCUCGUCCAUGAUGGCCAACCUGGCCGAGGAGAUGGCUAAGACGGAGGUGGAGGGCGCCGAGGACCCGUUGGCCAAGACGCUGGCCGACCUGUCCAAGACCAUGACCUCCGAUGCUGAGAAGAUGGGCGGCGAGCCGGACAUGGCUGAACUCCUGCGCACUUUUGGUGGCGGG